rnacentral:rRNA from 1 species
AAUAGAUACCCGGGUAGUCCACGCCGUAAACGAUGUCGACUUGGAGGUUGUUCCCUUGAGGAGUGGCUUCCGGAGCUAACGCGUUAAGUCGACCGCCUGGGGAGUACGGCCGCAAGGUUAAAACUCAAAUGAAUUGACGGGGGCCCGCACAAGCGGUGGAGCAUGUGGUUUAAUUCGAUGCAACGCGAAGAACCUUACCUACUCUUGACAUCCAGAGAACUUAGCAGAGAUGCUUUGGUGCCUUCGGGAACUCUGAGACAGGUGCUGCAUGGCUGUCGUCAGCUCGUGUUGUGAAAUGUUGGGUUAAGUCCCGCAACGAGCGCAACCCUUAUCCUUUGUUGCCAGCGGUUAGGCCGGGAACUCAAAGGAGACUGCCAGUGAUAAACUGGAGGAAGGUGGGGAUGACGUCAAGUCAUCAUGGCCCUUACGAGUAGGGCUACACACGUGCUACAAUGGCGCAUACAAAGAGAAGCGACCUCGCGAGAGCAAGCGGACCUCAUAAAGUGCGUCGUAGUCCGGAUUGGAGU